ACUGAGGCAAAAAUUGGAAGACAGCCAUGAGCCAAGCACUACCCGGAGGAGCCACAGGAAGCUAGGAGAGAGGCCUGGCAUGGAUUCUUCCUUAGGGCCUCCGGAUGCUGUCAACCCCUUAACUUCAUACUUCUGGUCUUCAAAACUGAGGAAGAAAUUUAAUUUCUGAACUACUGAGCUACAGUUCACAAGUGGAAGGGAUUCCUUGGUGGUACAAACAAGUCUUGGUAGGAAUGUGACCUUCAGACAUCACGCUCCUCAGCAAUCACCUUGGGGGGUGGCAGCAUCUGCACCACCAUCACUGCUGGACUACAGUUUUGGAGCCCUCAUUCACAUUGAGAGGUGUACAGCAUAGUGAAACACAACAAAGG